UGAUCACGGGCUGAUGGGCAUCACGGCAUUUUGUUUGUUUUAAAAGUUAUUAGGUGCAUUAAGUUUACUGUUUUUAUCCUACAUAGCUUCUUAAGCAGCAAACAAGAAAUGACGAAAAAGAGAUGGGCCAACAUUGAACAAAGCAAAAUAGAGAAAUCAGUUGCUUCAUGGCUGCCACAGACACAAUUAAAAUCAAAGACUUAGAAAGGGGCAGGGUGUCAAAGAGCACCUGAAGAACAGGAAGAUGAGGAUCGUGAAGCCGCCGACGCUUGAAUGAUGUGUAAAUAAUGUAUUGUCAGAGUGUCUACGAACCGGGAAAUCUGGGAAUGAACUUAUUUUUUUACUGAAAUGUACUGUUUUUAGUAAAUAUGGGUAAUUUUUAGUGGUAAUUGUCCUUAAAUAAUUGUGUGGGC